rnacentral:pre_miRNA from 1 species
CGGGGGAGGCGGGAUCCUGGGCUGUGUCCCGGCGCCCUGUGCUCCGGAGUCUGCGCUGGUGGAUUCGCGCUCCCGCCCCGCAGCCCCCU